UUGACUUGCAAUAUAAAUUUUUAAUUUAUUUAUUUAGCUGUUCAUUAACAAGUCCGGUGCUUUAUAAUAUAUUUAAAGGUGGUAAGGACGUGAAGAAAACAGGUUUGUAAAUGAUGUUGUACAUCAUGCAGAUAGCUCAGAAGAAGAAGCAGGAAUGUUUGGCUGGAAAUAUAAACGAUGUUGUACUUAAUGCAGAUAGCUUAGGCGAAAAAGAGAUUGGUGAAAUGGAGAAUGAGACUAACUACGGUG
rnacentral:lncRNA from 1 species